GGGGCGGUAGCCAAGCUGGUUAAGGCAUUCGGCUCAUAACCGAACGAUCGCGGGUUCAAGUCCCGCCCGCCCUACAA
rnacentral:tRNA from 1 species